rnacentral:rRNA from 1 species
GAUGAACGCUGGCGGCGUGCCUAAUACAUGCAAGUCGAGCGAACGGACGAGAAGCUUUCUUCUCUGAUGUUAGCGGCGGACGGGUGAGUAACACGUGGAUAACCUACCUAUAAGACUGGGAUAACUUCGGGAAACCGGAGCUAAUACCGGCUAAUAUUUUGAACCGCAUGGUUCAAAAGUAAAAGACGGUCUUGCUGUCACUUUUAGAUGGAUCCGCGCUGCAUUAGCUAGUUGGUAAGGUAACGGCUUACCAAGGCAACGAUGCAUAGCCGACCUGAGAGGGUGAUCAGCCACACUGGAACUGAGACACGGUCCAGACUCCUACGGGAGGCAGCAGUAGGGAAUCUUCCGCAAUGGGCGAAAGCCUGACGGAGCAACGCCGCGUGAGUGAUGAAGGUCUUCGGAUCGUAAAACUCUGUUAUUAGGGAAGAACAUAUGUGUAAGUAACUGUGCACAUCUUGACGGUACCUAAUCAGAAAGCCACGGCUAACUACGUG